rnacentral:rRNA from 1 species
CGGGGAUAACGGAUGGAAACGUGCGCGAGUACCCGAUAGGGUCCCAGGUUCAAAGCUGGGAUGAAAGCUUUGGUGCUCAAUGAGGGGCUCGCGGUCCAUCAGCUAGUUGGUGAGGUAACGGCUCACCAAUGCGAAGACGGGUAGGGGGUGUGAGAGCACGGCCCCCCACAAUGGGAGUGAGACACGGCCCAUACUCCUACGGGAGGCAGCAGCAGGGAAUAUUGCACACUGGACGGAAGUCUGAUGCAGCGACGCCGCGUGGAUGAUGAAGGCCUUCGUGUUGUAAAAUCCUUUACGGGGUGACGAUGAAGGACGGUAGCCCCGGAACAAGCGUCGGCUAACUACGUGCCACCAGCCGCGGUAAGACUUAGGACGCAAGCGUUAUCCGGAUUAACUGUGCGUAAAGCGUCUGUAGGCGGAUGAGUAACUUGGGCUUGAAAGCUCUGGUCUCAAGCCUGAGAGGCCGUUCAAUACUGCUGAUCUAUAGGAGGCCAGAGGGGAUUGUCAUUCCUGGAGUAGCGGUACAAUGCUCCUAUAUCAGGAAGAACACCAGUGGCGAAGGCGGCUCCAUAGGGCCCACCUGACGCUGAGAGACGACAGCUAGGGGAGCGAACAGGAUUAGAGACCCUGGUAGUCCUAGCCGUAUACGAUGGAUGCUAGGUGUAGGCCCGUAGAGGCUAUGUGCCGGAGCGAACGCGAUAAGCAUCCCGCCUGGGGAGUACGGCCGCAAGGUUAAAACUCAAACGAAUUGACGGGGACCCGCACAAGCAGCGGAGCGUGUGGUUUAAUUCGAUGCUACACGAAGAACCUUACCUGGGUUUGACAUGGGCGUGGUAGUGAAGCUGAAAUCGGAGCGACCCUUCGGGGAGCGUCCACAGUUUUUGACAUGGCUAUCGUCAGAUCGUGCCGUGAGGUGUCGGGUUAAGUCCCGUUACGAGCGCAACCCUUGCCCUUAGUGACAAGUGUCUAAGGGGACUGCCGUCGGGAAGCCGGAGGAAGGUGGGGAUGACGUCAAGUCAGCAUGGCCCUUAUAUCCAGGGCUACACACACGCUACAAUGGCCGGUACAGAGGGCAGCGAAGCCGCGAGGUGGAGCGAAUCCCAGAAAGCCG